rnacentral:rRNA from 1 species
CCCUUAGAUGUUCUGGGCCGCACGCGCGCUACACUGACGAAUGCAACGAGCUUAUAACCUUGGCCGAAAGGUCUGGGUAAUCUCCAAAUUUCGUCGUGAUGGGGAUAGAUUAUUGCAAUUAUUAAUCUUCAACGAGGAAUGCCUAGUAAGCGCAAGUCAUCAGCUUGCGUUGAUUACGUCCCUGCCCUUUGUACACACCGCCCGUCGCUCCUACCGAUUGAAUGGUCCGGUGAAGCGCUCGGACCGCGGCCUCUUGACGGUUCGCUGUCGAUUGGCUGUGGGAAGUUCGUUAAACCUUAUCAUUUAGAGGAAGGGGAAGUCGUAACA